rnacentral:misc_RNA from 1 species
AAAAUCUACACAACAAAAUAUAAAUUAUGAUUUUAGGACUAUUGAUUCCACAAGUCGAGAACAAAUAUUUUUUAUUAAAAACUGCACUAUGAAGGCCCCACAGUGUGAGCCAAAAUAUUCUUCUCAACACUGAUUUAUCAAAUGCCUGGUAAAAAUGAAAAUGAUAAAUUAAAAGAGAUGUCAAAAUGCUAAAUCCUUAAUAAACCAUCCACAAGGAACUUAAAAAACAAUCAAGAAGCGAAAGACUCCAGAGGAUAGCCCAUUUAAGGGAUUCAAACUGGUAACAAACACUAACGCAGAAGGAUCAACAGAAACUGUGGAAGAG